rnacentral:rRNA from 1 species
GCCUACCAUGCAGUUGAGGGGUAUUAGUAGCAAUACUAAGAGACCGGCGCACGGGUGAGUAACGCGUAUGCAACCUACCUUAUACAGGGGAAUAGCUCAGUGAAAACUGAAUUAAUACCCCAUAAAGCAGGGGUACCGCCUGGUACUAUUUGCUAAAGAUUUAUCGGUAUAAGAUGGGCAUGCGUGCCAUUAGCUAGUUGGUAGGGUAACGGCCUACCAAGGCUACGAUGGCUAGGGGGUCUGAGAGGAUGAUCCCCCACACUGGUACUGAGACACGGACCAGACUCCUACGGGAGGCAGCAGUGAGGAAUAUUGGUCAAUGGGCGCAAGCCUGAACCAGCCAUGCCGCGUGAAGGAUGACUGCCCUAAGGGUUGUAAACUUCUUUUGUACGGGGGUAAUUUUUCGGUCGUGACCGGAAUUGAAAGUACUGUAUGAAUAAGCGUCGGCUAACUACGUGCCAGCAGCCGCGGUAAUACGUAGGACGCAAGCGUUAUCCGGAUUUAUUGGGUUUAAAGGGUGCGUAGGCGGAUAUAUAAGUCAGUGGUGAAAGACUGUCGCUCAACGAUAGCAUUGCCAUUGAUACUGUAAAUCUUGAGUACAAUUGAGGUAGGCGGAAUGUGUAGUGUAGCGGUGAAAUGCUUAGAUAUUACACAGAACACCGAUUGCGAAGGCAGCUUACUAAAUUGUUACUGACGCUGAGGCACGAAAGCGUGGGGAUCAAACAGGAUUAGAUACCCUGGUAGUCCACGCCGUAAACGAUGAUCACUGGUUGUUAGCGAUACACAGUUAGCGACUGAGCGAAAGCAUUAA